GGAAAAUAUUAAUAUAAUAUAAUAAUAGAAACAAUAAUGAAUACAAAAACUCCUCUUAUUUUUCACUAACACCUACAAUAAAUGAUUUACUAUAUAAGAAUAAUCUCUCUUUCUUUCUCUCUUCUCCAUAAGACAUAGAUCAACUCAUCAUAAUCACGAUUAGUGUAAUAAAUACUGUUUACGCCAAAUCCACCAUGGACUCAUCAGAUAAGCAAGAUUCAGUGCUUGAAUAUGGCGAACAUCGAAAGCACAAUCGAAGCUCCAAUCACGGCCACAGAGCUUGAAACAGAUCCGGCAGCUCCGGCAUCGGGUCCUGGAGCCGGCGCCGGAGACAGAUCUUGAGCGGUGGCGACGGCGAAGAAAAGUGUGGCGACGAGAGCCACGAGGAAGGCGUUGACGGAGAAUGCUUGAGAUGCCAUGACUCGAAAAAGCGCAGAGAGAAAGAAAACGAAGAAACAAGAAUUGAAGGUGUUGUGAGGCUUUUGUUUUUAUUCCGCGAUGGAAGAAAGAAGAGAGGGUGGUGGUAUUUAUAGGGUUGUGGGAACGCGUGUGGGUCCCACGACAACGUGGGACAGGUGGAUGAUGAGGAAGAUGUGUGGUGUAAACGAAAGGCAGUGAGUUGUGAGAGAAGGUUUCGUUUGGUUUGAAAAAAAAAAGCCGACAUUGAUGUUUGUUGUGUCCAUUUGAGCUUUUCUCGUUGUUGUGUCGUCAUGUUUGGAAUUCUUGUAACUCAUUAGCUGAAUUGUUAAACAAACUUCAUUAGUUGGAAUCGUCUGGUGCAUGCAUAUUCCAAAGGGUUAUGUAGAAAUUUAUUAAUUUUAGAUAAAUAUAUUAAAGUAGUAUAAUUUUGAUAUGAGUUGUGUUGAAAUUAGAUACUAUUGAAAAAAAAAUGUAUUAGUCCUUUGUUAAUAAAGGAAAGAUGGACUAUAUAUAACUUUUGAAAAUCGGUGAUGUGGAUGUACUUUGAUUAAAUAGUGUAUUUUAAUUAGCAUGGUAAAAUCAAAUUUUAAAAUAAAACAAACAUUAAUUUAAGAAAACUUAAUUAAGAACAUUUUCAUCAGGAGUUCGAAACUAAUUGUGAGUUACAAACUAGAUUUUUCUAAUGUUUUUGUUGAAAUAUGAAACUACGUGGGUUGUUAGAAAAAUAAAAUUUUUCUACAAAAGCUAAUCAUUGUUUGACUUAUAUUAAGUCUAUUAUGAAAUUAGAAAGAGUAACAUGACACAUAUUUAUAUUUAUUUGACAUAUUUAAUAAAGGUAAAAUAGUCUUAAAAAAGUAAUUUUUUUAAAUUUUCAAAAAAAGAGAAAGUAAAAAUAAAGAAAAAUAAUGUCAAAUUAAUUUGAAAAAAAUUAUGUGAGUCAAAAUAUCAUUUCUCAAUUAAAAAGUCGAGAAUUCUUUAAAAAGUGAAUCAGAUAUCCUUAAUGUACAUAAUAUAUAGAGCGAUAAAUAAGAGUGUUAAUGUUAAAACAUAGUUAGAGUAUCACUAGGGCAUAAUUUAAUGUUAAAAAUAGAUGCCUUUUUUUUUUAAAUUAAAUGAACAAUUUUACUAUGAAUGUUAGGGGACUGAUGUGUAAUUCUUUCUAAAUAUUUAGAAAAACUAAGUGAAAAAGAAUGUUUUUGAAGAGUUUAAUAUCGGAUGCUAAGGAGUCGACGUUAUAUCUCUUUUAGAUAUCUGUCUACAGGGGGUCAACGUCUAAUUGUUUUUAUAACAUUUAAUAAAAUUAGCUAGAAGACAAUGUUUCUUGAAGAGUUUGAUGUCAAAGGCCUAGAGAGUGACAUCAUAUUCCUUUAGACGUCACAUAUUCGUGUGAUCAAUGUCUAAUAGUGUUUAAAAUAAUAAAAAAACCUAAAUCAGAAUGACCUUUCUUCUACCCUUUCGACAUCGGAUACAUAAAGGUUGACAUCAUAUCCAUUUAGACAUUGGAUUAUGUGGGUGGCUGACGUCAUAUGAUGUUUGAAACAUUAAAACAUCUAAUGCAAAAAGCCAUUUUCCUACACCCUUUAAACGUCGAUCCUCGUACGAUCCGACAUCUAAUGAGAUACGACGUUGGCUCCCAGAGAAACUGACAUCAUAUGUUGUUUAAAAAAUUAGUAAAAAAAAAUAGCGCAAAAGUAUUUCCCUUUUAUUGUUCCUUUGUAUUCUCACUUAUUAGGCCUCCCAACGACUUGGGCGACUACCACCAAAGAUAACUUUUCAACCAUUUAACACAAAUGCAUGUUUUGUGGCUGCUUUGGGUAUAAUUUUAUAAUGUUUUCACCAAUUAUUUGUGUACAGUUUGUGUGUUUUGAACAUUUAAGCACGACGCGAAUUCUCUUUUCUCCCUCAUAGACAAUGACUUCUCUACACCAACAAUGACACCACCCUUCAACUUCAUUCAAGCUUUUUGGUUGGAUACACGAUUGGUUUUUUGUUUUCAAUAUACAUUGCAUGCAAUUUGUCUUUUAAUUGGAUAUUAGAUGUGAUUUUGGUUUUUUCCGAAUACUUAGUCAAAUUUUAAGAUGCAAUGGUUUUCAUAUACUUAGCCAAUUUUUUUAGGUAUUUGAUAAACUUAUUUUUUUAGUUCCUAUUGCACUCUGUCUCUUAUUCCUUAGUUGUGUGUGGCAUGGGUUAGUUUUUCUUCACCAUAAUUGUUUUUAUCUUAAACAAAUUUUUAGUUGGUUUUUUUGCAUUUUAUUUCUAAUUAAAUUUUUAAAAUAUUUGUAGUGUGAAAUUUAGAUUUAUUAUUAGUUUAAAUAAUUUUAGUUUUAUUAAGAUUUAUUAUAAUUUUAGUUUUAUUAAUAUUUAAUAUAAUUUUAGUUAAACACUGAGUGAACCUUAAAUCUCAAAUGUUUUGAUCUGACAAUUUAGAAAAAUUAUUUUUCAUAAUUUACUAUAACGUGUACAUUGAAGUUUAUGCAUAAAUUUGAUGAAAUUUCGGUAAAAAUCAUUUUGUAUUCUUCUUCAAAUGCAUACUUGGUUGUGACCAUGAGUGAUCACUUUCUAUUCGUGUACUUUAGAGACCAAUGCGAAAUGUUGCAUAAAUUUUAUCAAAUUUAUGAUUUUAGACUUCUUCUUAUACAUGUUAAGAAAUUAUGAAAAAUAUUUAUUCUAAAUGGAUAUGGCCUCACCUUGUGAGAGUUAAAAAAAAUGAGACUAAUGAAGUUUGUUGCAAGUAUAAUAUGAUUUAAAGCUGGAUAAAUGAACGCCGUAUCAAUGAAAAGUAUGAAAAAGAGGUUUCUGAGUUCUUACAAUAUGUUCAACAACACACAAUCUUUUUGAACGAGACAUUUUUUUGUCAUUGUGUUUAUUGUCUUAAUAAAUUACGUCAAGACUUAGGCAAUAUAUGUGAUCAUUUAUUCAUCUUCGUUAUAGUGAGGAGUUAUACAAUUUAGAUUUGGCAUGAAAAAGUAUUACACAAGCCUACAACGUCACUGGGAACAAAUUAAGUAAACGAAUGGAUGAGUGAUCAGUUAGAGAACAUGGUACAUGAUGUUGAUGAAGAAAAUUUUGGAAGAACUCAUUUAUAUGAUUUUGUUAAGUUCAAUUCAGAGGAAAAAUUGUAUCUAGGAUGCUCUAACUUUACAUGAUUGUUAGCAACUUUAAAAUGUUUAGUUUAAAAAAGAGGAAUAGAUAGAUUGAUAAAAAGUUUCACAAAAUUGUUGGAUUUGCUGAAGGAGAUGCUUCCAAAAAAUAACAUGUUACAUAUUCGUAAUUACAAGGCGAAUGAAAUUCUAUGUCCAAUGAGUUUGGAAUACUAAAAGAUAAAUACAUGCCCCAAUGAUUGUGUAUUGCAUAGAGACGAGUUUGUUUCAGUGAAGGCGUGUCCAACAUGUGGUUUAUCGCAAUUUAAAAAGAAAGUUGAUGGAAAUAGUAGUGAUGAAGACAAAAAUGGCCGACCUACUAAGGUGGUGUGAUACUUGCCUAUACUACAUAGGUUGAAAUGAUUCUUUUCCAUUAAAGAAGAUGUGAAGAACCUGAAAUAGCACGUUGAUAGAAAAAUGUGUGAUAAUAUUCUUUGAUACUUAGCUGAUUUCCCAUAAUGAAAGAAGAUUGAUGAAACAUUUCUAAAAUUUGGUACAAAGUCAAGAAAAUUAAGACUCACACUUGGUAGUACGGAUAGUAUGAAUCCUUAUGGCAAAUUAAGUAUCAAAGAUAGUUCAUGGCUAAUUUUUUAUGAUUUACAAUCAUUCUUCUUUGUUGUGCUUGAAAAAAAAAAUGUAUGAUGUUUUCUAUGAUGAUAUGGAAUCUGACAAUCUAAAAAUGAUAUUGAUAUGUAUAUGAAGUUGUUGAUCAAUAAUUUGAAAAUAAUGUGAAAAGAAAGCAUUAAUGUGUUCAAUUCAUAUUCUUAAGAAAUUUUUCAUUUCCAUACAAUAUUGUUUUGCACCAUAAACGAUGAAACUUAUUUAUGAGUACAUGGUAAUUUAUUUAUGAAUUUAAAAAAUAUAUUUUGAAUUACACGAAUUUAUUAAAAAAAUAGGUACAUGAUCAUUUUUAACUUUUUUUUUUAGUAUAAUUUUAAAGAGGAAUCAUUUUAAGUUUAUGAAUUUUUACGAGGGUGAAAAAAAUACAAAAGAAGAAACAACCUAGUUAUCGUACGGGUUUUUGAAAAAAAGGAAGAAAACAAAAUAGAGAAUAUAAAUAAAAAGUAAAUAAGGGGUUGGCAAGGUGUGUAUACCGCGUAGCAGACCUGUCCAAACAUAAAAAAAAAUGGAGAAAAGUUGAUAUAUAAAAUGGAGCACAGCAGAGACAACUGAAACAAAUUUUAAUCAACUAAUAAUUAAAAAUACAAAAAUCGAUCUCAGAAAAACUUGCAAACCCAGUCUUAAUUAUGUCCCUAUAAAAAAAAUGGUUUGUUGUACACUUACAUAAAAUUUGAAAUUAUUAUUUUUGUCCAGAUAAUACAGAAGUGUAAAAUUUUAUUUAUUUUUCUAUGAUACGUAUUUAUAUUUUAAAAAUAAAACUAUUAUUUUAUGAUAAAUUAAUAAAAUAUAUUUUGUGAAGGUGCUUUUUAAAAAAUGUAACACGCUGAUAAUUGUGUACUAGAGCAAUUACAACACUACAGUAGGAUGAACCGGUUUCUAUUUUGUGGUGGGCUAAGCUUUUAUAAUAAAUAGGAAAAUGUUUAAUAUCUAUAUACUUAUAAAAUGUAAACAAAUUUAAAUAACAUUAAAAUUUUCAAAAUAUUAAAUAUAAAUUUUAAUAAGAGACUGAAUAACUUCAUUAAAAAACGUUUAAAUUUACAAAUAUGAAUUAUCAGUAAUUUUUAGAUUAUUUCUAUCUUUAAAAAUAUAUUGAUUUUAUCUAUUAAAAAUUUCUUAAUACACUAUAAAAUAUCAAAAUCAGUAAAUAACAGAAUAAAAAGUAGAGAGAAUAGAAAAACAACGUAAUGGAGUACAUUUAUAUUAAUAAUAAUAAUACAUGGUGAAAUUGAAAAAAAAAAUAAAAAUCUCUCUUAUUUCUCACUAACACCUACAAUAAAUGGUUUAAUAUAUAACAAUAAUCUCUUCCUCUUCUCUCUUUCUUUGCAUAAGACAUAGAUCAACUCAUUAUAAUCAUCAUAAUAAAUAUUGUUCACACAAAAUCCACAACAAAACUAAUAUACGGAAUAAACUCAUCAGAUAAGCGAGAUUCAGUGCUUGAACAUGGCAAACAUCGAAAGCACAAUCGAAGCUCCGAUCACGGCCACAGAGCUAGAAACAGAUCCGGCUGCUCCGGCAUCAGGUCCUGGUGCGGGGGCCGGAGACAGAUCUUGAGCGGUGGCGACGGCGAAGAAAAGUGCCGCAACGAGAGCCAAGAGGAAGGCGUUGACGGAGAAUGCUUGAGAUGCCAUGACUCGAAAAAGCGUAGAGAGAAAGAGAACGAAGAAACAGGCGUUGAAGGUGCUGUGAGCUUUAGGUUUAUUUUGCAAUGAAUGAGGGAAGAGAGGGUGGUGGUAUUUAUAGUGUUGGGAAAUGCGUGUGGGCCCCAGGAAAACGUGGACAGGUGUGUGGUGAAGACGAUGUGCGGUGUGAAUGAACGGUAGAGAGUUGGUGAGAGAGACUGUUCUUUACGUUUCAUUGCUUUUUCGGUCUGAAAGAUUCACGUUGAAUCCGUUCCGUUAUAAAUGUGACGUAAAAUAAAUCAAUGAUAGGAAACGACUAGUUGAAAAACGGUUCCCUUAAACGUAGGGAUUUGUUUGUUUACCUAAGGAAACUUCUCGACGGUGUAAUGAAGAG
rnacentral:lncRNA from 1 species